rnacentral:lncRNA from 1 species
UAAGAUUACGCACGUCAAAAUCAAAUCAAACAUAACACCCGUGACCAGUGUCCUUGCAUGCAUGUCGCACGAGAUUUCAUUACUGGAAAUCAAUGUCCAUUAUUGGACAAUGAUGCUAGAGUGCAACUCAGUCACAAACGACGCAAACGCAGCGACUGUCAAAAGGAGGCUUGCCGGUGCAGUAGGCUUCCUUGACGUGCUUCCACACAUUCUUGCACCAAACCUGGCAUUUUAUUGUUGGGCACAGAAUGGUCGGUACACUGUGUGUUUGGCAAUGCUCUGUAGACAACAUACAUACAUCAGUAAAACAAUUCCAAACUGAAAGGGUCCAAAGAAAUUCAUGCAGUUGAAUUAACAAUAUUCAUGACGACUCGUUCUACUCCAGUUGGAAGUUCAAAGGAAACACAUAUAUAGGAAUAGAGAGAUCAAUUUUGUACCAGCGUGAGUGGAAUUUCCUAGUAGCACAAGCACCAUAAGGCAAAGCAGAAUAGUUUUCCUCUCCAUAAGAUCAGGCACC